rnacentral:rRNA from 1 species
CAAUAGCGUAUAUUAAAGUUGUUGCGGUUAAAAGCUCGUAGUUGGAUUUCUGUUGAGAAUGGGCGGUCCGCACUACGUGCGUGUAUCUGUUACAGUCUCGGCAUCCUCUUGGAGAACAGUGCUGCUCUUAAUUGAGUGGUCUGGAAUUCAAGACUUUUACUUUGAGGAAAUUAGAGUGUUCACGGCAAGCAAUCGCUUUGAAUACAUUAGCAUGGAAUAAUAAUAUAGGACCUUGGUACUAUUUUGUUGGUUUCUAGAACUAAGGUAAUGAUUAAUAGGGAUAAUUGGGGGCAUUCGUAUAUACGCGUCAGAGGUGGAAUUCUUGGAUUGCGUAUCGACGAACUACUGCGAAAGCAUUUGCCAAGGAUGUUUUCAUUGAUCAAGAACGAAAGUAUGGGGAUCGAAGACGAUUAGAUACCAU